CUGCGAUGAUGUCAUUUCUUAGGACACCUUUGGAUUAAUCAUGAAAAUAGCUCUUCUCUGAGCAGC
ensembl:snoRNA Snord58b small nucleolar RNA, C/D box 58B